AGCAGCCGCGGUAAUUCCAGCUCCAAUAGCGUAUAUUAAAGUUGUUGCAGUUAAAAGCCCGUAGUUGAAUUUCGGGGUUUAUCCGUUGGUCGGGCUUUUUGGUCUGUACUGGCGUGAUGGAUUCCUACCUUCUGAAUAACCGGCAUGCCAUUAAUUUGGUGCGCCGGGGAAGCAGGACUGUUACCUUGAAAAAAUUAGAGUGCUUAAAGCAGGCUUAUGCCUGAAUACAUUAGCAUGGAAUAAUGAAAUAGGACGGCAUGGUUCUAUUUUGUUGGUUUCUAGGAUCACCGUAAUGAUUAAUAGGGAUAGUUGGGGGCAUUAGUAUUCAAUUGUCAGAGGUGAAAUUCUUGGAUUUAUUGAAGACUAACUUCUGCGAAAGCAUUUGCCAAGGAUGUUUUCAUUAAUCAAGAACGAAAGUUAGGGGAUCGAAGACGAUCAGAUACCGUCGUAGUCCUAACCAUAAACUAUGCCGACUGGGGAUCGGACGAUGUUAAUUUUUUAAUGACUCGUUCGGCGCCUU
rnacentral:rRNA from 1 species